ACAACAGGUUGAUAUUCCUGUACUACCGAUAACCGUUUGAGAGAAGGGAUGACACAGUAGGAUAAGCUAAGCACACUGUUGGUUAUGUGUGCCCAAGCAUUGAGGCAGUCAAAGUAGGUAAAUCCGCGUUGAUAAUGCUGGGAUGUGAUGGGGAGCGAAAUUUAGUAGCGAAGUAGCUGAUUUCACACUGUCAAGAAAAGUCUCUAUCGAGGUUAAAGGUACCCGUACCGCAAACCGACACAGGUG
rnacentral:rRNA from 1 species